CUGAAGACUCUACUUGACUAGCUGAGAGGAGGUGCAUGGCCGUCGUCAGUUCGUACUGUGAAGCAUCCUGUUAAGUCAGGGCAACGAGCGAGACCCACGCCAACAGUUGCCAGCUCGUCCUCCGGGAUGGUGGGGACACUGUUGGGACCGCCUCUGCUAAAGGAGGAGGAAGGAAUGGGCAACGGUAGGUCAGCAUGCCCCGAAUUAUCUGGGCUACACGCGGGCUACAAUGGGUGGGGACAAUGGGUAUCGACACCGAAAGGUGAAGGGCAAUCUCCUAAACCCAUCCGUAGUUCGGAUUGUGGGCUGCAACUCGCCCACAUGAAGCUGGAAUCUGUAGUAAUCGUGUCUCAAAAUGGCACGGUGAAUAUGUCCCUGCUCCUU
rnacentral:rRNA from 1 species